GAAAAGAAACCAACAGGGAUUGCCCUAGUAACGGCGAGUGAAGCGGCAACAGCUCAAAUUUGAAAUCUGGCCUCGGCCCGAGUUGUAAUUUGCAGAGGAUGUUUCUGGCGCGGUGCCUUCCGAGUUCCCUGGAACGGGACGCCACAGAGGGUGAGAGCCCCGUAUGGUUGGACACUAAGCCUGUGUGAAACUCCUUCGACGAGUCGAGUAGUUUGGGAAUGCUGCUCAAAAUGGGAGGUAAAUCUCUUCUAAAGCUAAAUACCGGCCAGAGACCGAUAGCGCACAAGUAGAGUGAUCGAAAGAUGAAAAGCACCUUGAAAAGGGGGUUAAACAGUACGUGAAAUUGUUGAAAGGGAAGCGCUUGUGACCAGACUUGCGCCGGGCGGCUCAUCCGGGGUUCUCCCCGGUGCACUCCGCCCGGCUCAGGCCAGCAUCGGUUCUCGUUGGGGGAUAAGAACGGCAGGAACGUGGCCCUCCUUCGGGUGGGUGUUAUAGCCUGCCGUACGAUACCCUGACGGGGACCGAGGUUCGCGCUCCGCAAGGAUGCUGGCGUAAUGGUCAUCAGCGACCCGUCUUGAAACACGGACCAAGGAGUCGUCCAUUAGAGCGAGCGUUUGGGUGUCAAACCCGCACGCGUAAUGAAAGUGAAAUUAGGUGAGAGCUUCGGCGCAUCAUCGACCGAUCCUGAUGUUCUCGGAUGGAUUUGAGUAAGAGUUUUAACGGACGGACCCGAAAGACAGUGAACUAUGCUUGUAUAGGGUGAAGCCAGAGGAAACUCUGGUGGAGGCUCGCAGCGGUUCUGACGUGCAAAUCGAUCGUCAAAUAUGAGCAUGGGGGCGAAAGACUAAUCGAACUGUCUAGUAGCUGGUUACCGCCGAAGUUUCCCUCAGGAUAGCAGUGUUGACCUUCAGUUUUAUGAGGUAAAGCGAAUGAUUAGGGACUCGGGGGCGCUUUUUAGCCUUCAUCCAUUCUCAAACUUUAAAUAUGUAAGAAGCCCUUGUUACUUUGUUGAACGUGGGCAUUCGAAUGUAUCAACACUAGUGGGCCAUUUUUGGUAAGCAGAACUGGCGAUGCGGGAUGAACCGAACGCGGGGUUAAGGCGCCAGAGUGUACGCUCAUCAGACACCACAAAAGGCGUUAGUACAUCUUGACAGCAGGACGGUGGCCAUGGAAGUCGGAAUCCGCUAAGGACUGUGUAACAACUCACCUGCCGAAUGUACUAGCCCUGAAAAUGGAUGGCGCUCAAGCGUACCGCCCAUACCCCGCCCUCAGGGUAGAAACGAUGCCCUGAGGAGUAGGCGGCCGUGGAGGUCAGUGACGAAGCCUAGGGCGUGAGCCCGGGUCGAACGGCCUCUAGUGCAGAUCUUG
rnacentral:rRNA from 2 species